rnacentral:rRNA from 1 species
AGAAUCAACGCUGGCGGCGUGCCUCAGACAUGCAAGUCGAACGCGAAAGUCCCCUUCGGGGGGACAAGUAGAGUGGCGCACGGGUGAGUAACACGUAGGUAAUCUACCUUCGGGUGGGGAAUAACAACCGGAAACGGUUGCUAAUACCGCAUAAUGCAGCGGCACCUAAUGGUGACAGUUGUUAAAGCGGGGGAUCGCAAGAUCUCGCGCCUGAAGAGGAGCCUGCGGCGGAUUAGCUUGUUGGUAGGGUAACGGCCUACCAAGGCGACGAUCCGUAGCCGGCCUGAGAGGGCGGUCGGCCACACUGACACUGACACACGGGUCAGACUCCUACGGGAGGCAGCAGUCGGGAAUUUUGGGCAAUGGGCGAAAGCCUGACCCAGCAACGCGCGUGAAGGAUGAAUCCUCGGAUGUAACUUCGCGAAGAACGGAAGAAGAAGUAGGGACAAGUACCCCUAUGAUAGACGUACCGUUUGUAAGCUCCGGCUAACUCGUCGCAGCACGCCGCGGUAAUC